ACUUUCAAAAUGACAUCAUCUCACCUCAUGUAAGAAUGCCCAUCUCUGAUUGGUUCAUGUGACCUUGAACAAAUUACCAUGUAUGCCUGGUGCAUGGCCGUACACCGCCCAAGUGGGGUAGAAAUCAUUGCGAGGGAGAAUAAAUCAUUUAUACC